CACACCUGAGGAGCUGCAGCUGUACAAUCACCAAAGAUUAGGAACAGGCCUGCCCUUAACAGGCCACAGCUGUGUCCAGUAAGAGGAGUGCUACAAAAGACUGGGUUAGCUGGUUGAGGAGAGAGUUGGAGUUUGUUAGUGAGCUGUGAAGAGAGAUGGAGCUGUUGGCUGUGAAGAAGAAGGAGUCAGUGCUGUUGAGGAGCUGCCCAGGAGAAAUCACCGAGAAGGUUGGUCUCUCCAGUGCCAGCAGAUGAAAGGACAUUCAGUUCUGCUCUGAGCAGCAUUUUUCAUUUCCUCUGGGUCUUGUGGAGCUCCUGCCAUUGACCAGCUCACCCUGCAGCCAUGCUGAUGGUGGGGCCCUGGAAAAUGUCAAGAUAGACUCUGAAGUGUUAAGCUUUGCAUUGCACCUGUAUUACCCUGGGAGAUGCUGCUCAUGAUUUCAUAAAUCAGUGGCCUGGGCCCUUUCACAGAGCUGGGUUGUCUGGGAUACAACCAAUGCUUAUAUUCCUCCCAUUCACUCUGAUGGCCAGGGGAUAACACGAGCUCUGUGUGUGAGACAAAUAUUUCAGCCACACUGUGUGGCAUUGUGUUUUUAAAGAUCUGUUAUUAUUAUUUAUGUUAGUUGUUUUGUGUUAAGAAAAUGGUUUGGUCCUUGGUUCCCCCCAUGUUCUCCCCUCACGAUGGUUUGUCCCAGGUUGUUUGUUACUUUCCUUUCCCGCCACUCGCCUGCCCAUCAAACCCAGUGAUCCUUCCCUCCUCCCUCCCUGCCCUUAUCAGUCCU